rnacentral:rRNA from 1 species
UUCCGGUUGAUCCCGCCGGACCCGACUGCUAUCAGAGUGGGACUAAGCCAUGCGAGUCAACAUAGCAAUAUGUGGCAUACGGCUCAGUAACACGUAGUCAACAUGCCCAGGGGACGUGGAUAACCUCGGGAAACUGAGGAUAAACCGCGAUAGGUCAUCACUUCUGGAAUGGGUAAUGACUUAAAUCUAUAUGGCCCCUGGAUUGGACUGCGGCCGAUCAGGCUGUUGGUGAGGUAAUGGCCCACCAAACCUGUAACCGGUACGGGCUCUGAGAGGAGGAGCCCGGAGAUGGGCACUGAGACAAGGGCCCAGGCCCUAUGGGGCGCAGCAGGCGCGAAACCUCUGCAAUAGGCGAAAGCUUGACAGGGUUACUCUGAGUGAUUUCCGUUAAGGAGAUCUUUUGGCACCUCUAAAAAUGGUGCAGAAUAAGGGGUGGGCAAGUCUGGUGUCAGCCGCCGCGGUAAUACCAGCACCCCGAGUGGUCGGGACGUUUAUUGGGCCUAAAGCAUCCGUAGCCGGUUCUACAAGUCUUCCGUUAAAUCCACCUGCUUAACAGAUGGGCUGCGGAAGAUACUAUAGAGCUAGGAGGCGGGAGAGGCAAGCGGUACUCGAUGGGUAGGGGUAAAAUCCGUUGAUCCAUUGAAGACCACCAGUGGCGAAGGCGGCUUGCCAGAACGCGCUCGACGGUGAGGGAUGAAAGCUGGGGGAGCAAACCGGAUUAGAUACCCGGGUAGUCCCAGCUGUAAACGAUGCAGACUCGGUGAUGGGUUGGCCUCGCGCCUGCCCAGUGCCGCAGGGAAGCCGUUAAGUCUGCCGCCUGGGGAGUACGGUCGCAAGACUGAAACUUAAAGGAAUUGGCCGGGGAGCA